rnacentral:rRNA from 1 species
AGAGUUUGAUCAUGGCUCAGGACGAACGCUGGCGGCGUGCCUUUACCCAUGCAAGUCGAACGGGGGGAGCAAUCCCCCAGUGGCAGACGGCUGAGUAACACGUGAGUACCUACCCGACGCAGGGGGGAUAGUCGUCCGAAAAGGACGGGUAAUACCGCGUAAGCUCUCGAAAGAGAGGAGAGCAGAGAUGCGGCGUUGGAGGGGCUCGCGGCCCAUCAGGUAGUAGGUGGGGUGAUGGCCUACCUAGCCGAUGACGGGUAGCUGGUCUGAGAGGAUGAUCAGCCAGACUGGGACUGAGAGACGGCCCAGACUCCUACGGGGGGCAGCAGGGGGGGAUUUUGCACAAUGGGCGAAAGCCUGAUGCAGCGACGCCGCGUGAGGGAGGAAGGGUUUCGGCCUGUAAACCUCUUUUGACAGGGAAGAUAAUGACGGUACCUGUCGAAUAAGCCCCGGCUAACUACGUGCCAGCAGCCGCGGUAAUACGUAGGGAGCGAGCGUUGUCCGGAUUUACUGGGCGUAAAGAGCGCGUAGGCGGCUUGUUAAGUUGGCUGUGAAAGUCCCUGGCCUAACUGGGGAAAGUCGGCCGAGACUGGCAGGCUAGAGAGCGGUAGAGGAAGGUGGAAUUCCGGGUGUAGUGGUGAAAUGCGUAGAUAUCCGGAGGAACACCGGUGGCGAAGGCGGCCUUCUGGGCCGUUUCUGACGCUGAGGCGCGAAAGCGUGGGGAGCGAACCGAAUUAGAUACUCGGGUAGUCCACGCCCUAAACGAUGGACGCUAGGUGUAGGGGGUAUCGACCCCUCCUGUGCCGAAGCAAACGCAUUAAGCGUCCCGCCUGGGGAGUACGGCCGCAAGGCUAAAACUCAAAGGAAUUGACGG